CAGCAGCCGCGGGAAUACAUAGGAUGCAAGCGUUAUCCAGAAUGAUUGGGCGUAAAGCAUCUUUAGGCGGCUUUUCAAGUCCGUCGUCAAAUCCCAGGGCUCAGCCCUGGACAGGCGGUGGAAACUACUAAGCUGGAGUACGAUAGGGGCAGAGGGAAUUUCCGGUGGAGCAGUGAAAUGCGUUGAGAUUGGAAAGAACACCAACGGCGAAAGCACUCUGCUGGGCCGACACUGACACUGAGAGACGAAAGCUAGGGGAGCAAAUGGGAUUAGAUACCCGAGUAGUCCCUGUCUCUUAUAC
rnacentral:rRNA from 1 species